AUGCUCGCAGAUGACUCGUCGCUGGCGCCCUUCGAGAUGACGGUGGGGGCCACGCUCAAGCUGCUCGGCGUCACCGAGGGCACCUACUUCAACUGGAUCCUGCGCGCCAAGAAGGCCGUCGCCGCUUCCUGCAAGGACGACCCAGACGCCGUCGCCCAGGUCCCUCCUCCCAAACUUCUCCUCCACUCCAUGCUGUACUUCAAUCCCUCGACAUUAGUAAAUCUCUAAUUGGAGCCUUUGAAGGAUUUGAAUGGAGCAUAUGUAUGCAUGCUACGGUUCAUCUUAGAAUUGGAGCCUUUGAAGGAUUUGAAUGGAGCAUAUGUAUGCAUGCUAUGGUUCAUCUUAGAACAUUUGUGCGAUGGAGGAAGGAAACGGAAGUGCAAGGAUGUCUCAGAAGGUUGCUCUGAAUCACAUUCUUCGGGGAUGUGGCUCUGGUUGAAGCAGAGUAUAAGAAUUGGGUUGUUGACUGUGACAAGUAUGUCGCCAUUGUUCGCCCUCAAUCACAUUUUCCAGAAGGGCCUUUCCAAGACUGAAUUGGCGAAUGUCGGCAUGCGCAAGCCUCUGUUCUUAGAUGAUGCUUCUAAGAUUUAUAGGAUUCAAGGUCCCCUGACCCUGGUCAAGGACUAUGACAUGGAGUGA
rnacentral:rRNA from 1 species